GCUUACGGCCAUACCACCCUGAACACGCCCGAUCUCGUCCGAUCUCGGAAGCUAAGCAGGGUCGGGCCUGGUUAGUACUUGGAUGGGAGACGCCUGGGAAUACCAGGUGCUGUAAGCU
rnacentral:rRNA from 1 species